GUAGUCUCUUUGGAAAGCCCCACUUCUGCUCUGUCAUGCAAUAAAGGUUUCAUCUCGCUGCGAUGAACAGUUCCGGAGCAAUUUCGCAAGCGGAUCCAUUGAGAUUAAAAGGCAUGCUGAAUAAUGCUGCUGUGUUGCUGCUGCCUACAUUGUUGAAACAAACUUUUGUACUGUAUCAAUGAGAACCAUCAGCAGCUACUCCCACGAUGAUGAUCCGCUGCGUAAACACAGCGCUGGAUCCAGAUAUGGUCUCCAUCAAGAUGGACGGCAAUUUUGUCAUCGGCCCAUCCAUAAGCAGAUUAUGAACUUUCGGGCCCCUGGGCCCAGAUGUAUUAAGGGCCCCCCACUAAUUGUCGUAUACAGUAUG